CAAUAGCGUAUAUUAAAGUUGUUGCGGUUAAAAAGCUCGUAGUUGGAUUUCUGCCGAGGACGACCGGUCCGCCCUCUGGGUGUGUAUCUGGUUUGGCCUGGGCAUCUUCUUGGAGAACGUAGCUGCACUUGACUGUGUGGUGCGGUGUCCAGGACUUUUACUUUGAGGAAAUUAGAGUGUUUCAAGCAGGCAAUCGCCGUGAAUAUGAUAGCAUGGAAUAAUAGCACAGGACUCUUGGUUCAAUGCUGUUGGUUGAUUGAACUAGAGUAAUCAUAAUAAGGAUAGUUGGGGGUAUUCGUAUUUAACUGUCAGAGGUGAAAUUCUUGGAUUUUUUAAAGACGAACAAUUGCGAAGGCAUCUACCCAGGAUGUUUUUGUUGA
rnacentral:rRNA from 1 species